AUUGUGGUUGAUCCUGCCAGUAGUUAUAUGCUUGUCUCAAAGAUUAAGCCAUGCAUGUCUAAGUACACACGAAUUAAAAGUGAAACCGCAAAAGGCUCAUUAUAUCAGUUAUGGUUCCUUAGAUCGUUAACAGUUACUUGGAUAACUGUGGUAAUUCUAGAGCUAAUUCAUGCAAUUAAAACACGGACCUUCUGGGACGUGUGCCUUUAUUAGACUAAAACCAAGCGAUCAAUUGAUCGUUAUAAUGGUUGAACUGUAGAUAACAUGCAGAUCCUAUGGUCUUGUACCGACGACAGAUCUUUCAAAUGUCUGCCCUAUCAACUUUUGAUGGUAGUAUCUAGGACUACCAUGGUUGAAACGGGUAAAG
rnacentral:ncRNA from 1 species